UAGGGAAUCUUCGGCAAUGGACGGAAGUCUGACCGAGCAACGCCGCGUGAGUGAAGAAGGUUUUCGGAUCGUAAAGCUCUGUUGUUAGAGAAGAACGUUGGUAGGAGUGGAAAAUCUACCAAGUGACGGUAACUAACCAGAAAGGGACGGCUAACUACGUGCCAGCAGCCGCGGUAAUACGUAGGUCCCGAGCGUUGUCCGGAUUUAUUGGGCGUAAAGCGAGCGCAGGCGGUUCUUUAAGUCUGAAGUUAAAGGCAGUGGCUUAACCAUUGUACGCUUUGGAAACUGGAGGACUUGAGUGCAGAAGGGGAGAGUGGAAUUCCAUGUGUAGCGGUGAAAUGCGUAGAUAUAUGGAGGAACGCCGGUGGCGAAAGCGGCUCUCUGGUCUGUAGCUGACGCUGAGGCUCGAAAGCGUGGGGAGCAAACAGG
rnacentral:rRNA from 1 species